AUUGAACGCUGGCGGCAGGCCUAACACAUGCAAGUCGAACGGUAACAGGAAGCAGCUUGCUGCUUCGCUGACGAGUGGCGGACGGGUGAGUAAUGUCUGGGAAACUGCCUGAUGGAGGGGGAUAACUACUGGAAACGGUAGCUAAUACCGCAUAACGUCGCAAGACCAAAGAGGGGGACCUUCGGGCCUCUUGCCAUCGGAUGUGCUCAGAUGGGAUUAGCUAGUAGGUGGGGUAACGGCUCACCUAGGCGACGAUCCCUAGCUGGUCUGAGAGGAUGACCAGCCACACUGGAACUGAGACACGGUCCAGACUCCUACGGGAGGCAGCAGUGGGGAAUAUUGCACAAUGGGCGCAAGCCUGAUGCAGCCAUGCCGCGUGUAUGAAGAAGGCCUUCGGGUUGUAAAGUACUUUCAGCGGGGAGGAAGGGAGUAAAGUUAAUACCUUUACUCAUUGACGUAC
rnacentral:rRNA from 1 species